rnacentral:rRNA from 1 species
GACGAACGCUGGCGGCGUGCUUAACACAUGCAAGUCGAACGGAAAGGCCCUGCUUUUGUGGGGUGCUCGAGUGGCGAACGGGUGGGUAACACGUGAGUAACCUGCCCUUGACUUUGGGAUAACUUCAGGAAACUGGGGCUAAUACCGGAUAGGAGCUCCUGCUGCAUGGUGGGGGUUGGAAAGUUUCGGCGGUUGGGGAUGGACUCGCGGCUUAUCAGCUUGUUGGUGGGGUAGUGGCUUACCAAGGCUUUGACGGGUAGUCGGCCUGAGAGGGUGACCGGCCACAUUGGGACUGAGAUACGGCCCAGACUCCUACGGGAGGCAGCAGUGGGGUAUAUUGCACAAUGGGCGGAAGCCUGAUGCAGCAACGCCGCGUGCGGGAUGACGGCCUUCGGGUUGUAACCCGCUUUCGCCUGUGACGAAGCGUGAGUGACGGUAAUGGGUAAAGAAGCACCGGCUAACUACGUG